rnacentral:rRNA from 1 species
AUUGAACGCUGGCGGCAGGCUUAACACAUGCAAGUCGAGCGGAGCGGCGGACGGGUGAGUAAUGCCUAGGAAUCUGCCUGGUAGUGGGGGAUAACGUCCGGAAACGGGCGCUAAUACCGCAUACUAUCAGAUGAGCCUAGGUCGGAUUAGCUAGUUGGUGGUGUAAAGGCCUACCAGGGCGACGAUCCGUAACUGGUCUGAGAGGAUGAUCAGUCACACUGGAACUGAGAGACGGUCCAUGCUCUUGCGGAAGACAGCAGUUAGGAAUAUUAGACAAUGGGCGAAAGCUUGGUGCGGCCAUUCAGCGUGUGUGAGGAAGGUCUUCGGAUUGUAAAGCACUUUAAGUGGGGAGGCGUUACCAACAGAAUAAGCACCGGCUGACUUCGUGCCAGCAGCCGCGAUAGUAC